rnacentral:tRNA from 1 species
AGAGUAUAGCUCAGUGGUAGAGUGUGUGCUUAGCAUGCAUGAGGUCCUGGGUUCAAUGCCCACUGCCUCUG